GUAGCUUAAUGGAUAGAGCAUCUGACUACGGAUCAGAAGGUUGGGGGUUCGAGUCCCUCC
rnacentral:tRNA from 1 species